GCAAAAUAGUAACUUUCCAUUUGCUACAUUAAAUAAUUAAAAAACUUAAAUCAAAAACAAAAAAAAGGGGAUCCUCUUCUUCUCUCCCAGCUGCGCCACCGUCAACAACCACAGUGGAUGGCUAAGGCACAUGAAUUACAGGUAGCUAAACCUGCUCCAACGGGAAAGAUGAAGUGUCAAAGGUGGGCAAGGUAAAACCCAUUUGAAACAUGUUGAUUGGACUCUACUAAUCGGGAUUCAACAUCGUUGAAAUAGGAAUCAGUCCAUUCAACUCGCCGUCGAAUCUUACGCCAGUUACCUGCUGCACCAUUUGCCUGAAAUUCGCCAAAUCAAUGGUGAUAAACGUCGUCGUUGCGUGCUUCUUUGUACGCGAUUUAAGUUUAGUGAUUUUCCCUAUUUGUUGGUGAGGAACUUAUGUACAGUCUGCUGGUGAGGAAUUUGUAAACAAUUUUGUUAAAGCUUUGUUAAGUGUCUUUGUUUCUUUGGUGAAUAAAUCAAAUAUCCAACCAUACACCAUUCCUGGACCAAAUCUCCGAGGUUGUUGUUUGAUGGUAACUAGAUUAUCAGACGACACCAUUCUUAGACUUGCUUCAUUUCUCACAGUGUUUCGAGAGAUGGGAUGUGCUUUUGGGGAGAGAGAUCUGAUUAUUUGGGCCUCUAGCGGCGAGUUUGUAGCUGAGAAAGGGAGGGAAAAGAGAGAGGAAAGAGAUCUGGCCGUGGCGGUGGCCCGUGGGUUUG
rnacentral:lncRNA from 1 species